rnacentral:rRNA from 1 species
AACGAACGCUGGCGGCAUGCCUAACACAUGCAAGUCGAACGAGACCUUCGGGUCUAGUGGCGCACGGGUGCGUAACGCGUGGGAAUCUGCCCUUCGGUUGGGAAUAACUGAGAGAAAUUUCAGCUAAUACCUUAUAAUGUCUUCGGACCAAAGAUUUAUCGCCGAGGGAUGAGCCCGCGUAGGAUUAGGUAGUUGGUGGGGUAAUGGCCUACCAAGCCGACGAUCCUUAGCUGGUCUGAGAGGAUGAUCAGCCACACUGGGACUGAGACACGGCCCAGACUCCUACGGGAGGCAGCAGUGGGGAAUAUUGGACAAUGGGCGAAAGCGUGAUCCAGCAAUGCCGCGUGAGUGAUGAAGGCCUUAGGGUUGUAAAGCUCUUUUACCCGGGAUGAUAAUGACAGUACCGGGAGAAUAAGCUCCGGCUAACUCCGUG